CUUUCGCGCAUGCGGGGUACCGAUCGGGUUUCCGGUACGGAUCGGGUAGUGACAAGGCUGUUUUGUCAGAACACCGGAUCCUAUGGCCGCUGUAGCUGAGCUCGCUUUUCUUACGAGCUUCACGGAUUACAAGGUCUUUUAUUUGGUCGCAGAAUAACCGGAGCUGGACUCCGGUGCGCCCUGUCCAGCUCGGGCGGUGAGGGAAGCACCUGCGCUCCGAAAACAUCGACGAGGAGCUGAAAAAAGAAAGCUGUCGGGUGUGGGCCUUCAAUGUCCUCAGCACCUCACAAGUAAGGCACACACCCUCACCAAGAGCUGCUCUACAGUCACAGACUCUGGUCAGGAGAAGAGAUUUUCCAGUGCCUACUCUCCUGGGUUCAGUGGGUGAAGUGGAACAGUCUGUGAAGCUGCAAAAAUGGCAGACUGGAAGACUCAGGUGGCUUUCAUCAAUCUGAAUCUCUCAGAAUCUCAACAGUUAUGUACUCAGCAUUGUUGCCCAGUGAGCAAUGUUCAAGUGAAAUCUGGUGGCAAAUUGUAGGAAUGCAGCCAAAAUGCCUGUGACUAGUGCCAAAGCAUAACAGUAAAUAUUCUGACCCAUGUGGUCAGUUAAAGAGGGUGGGGGAGUAAAGAAAGGCCACUUCCUCCCUUGUGUUGGUGUAGCUGAAGUUGUAGAAGUUAAAUAUUGCACAGUGCUGUGCCAAUAUUUUCUCCUCUUGCCUUUGGUGCAGUUUAUCCAUCUAGAUUAUUUUGGUAUGGACAACCCACUUUUGUAGUUUUCUCUGAGCUCCGUGUCUCUGAAAAGUAAUGUUUCCAUCCUAAAGAAAUCCAGACUGUGUUACAGAUCUACUGACCUUGUAGGAAUUCUUUUCUUUCCUCUGAACUACAUCUGCUAACCAUAUCAGUGUCCUGGAGGAAGCACGUAAAGGCUUUGAACAAGAAGCUUGACUUCAUGACAGGCUUCAUGCUUCUUUGUAGUUGGCAGGUGUAGACACUGCACCAGAUUACUGAGUUUUAACAAAUUCAUAUACCAGAUGUUUGGCUGGUCGAUGCCACCAGGCAACGGACAUUAUGAAUUCAACCCUGUUGUUUUAAACACUGGUAUGAAUGUAAACAACUCCAGAGUUGACAACACAAGUUUUGAAGGAGCAAAUUAGAGCCUUGACAGCAGCUAAUGUUCCUUUAAUUACAAAUAUUUUAAUGUAUAUCAGCUUUUUUUGUAUUAAGUUUUAAUCUUCUUGUCUUCAUGUAGCUCAACAUAUCAGUCUCCAAUUGGGGUGAACUUUUGGCCCUUUAUUUUUAACCGUUUGAUUAGAAAUAUUUGAAUUCAGUCUAAUCUGGCUAUUUUAAAUACAGUUUGUUCGAUCCAAAAUACCUACUGGGAGACAGAACAUCAUCGAAGUUUUCUAUAUAAUAAGAGAUGAAUUAAUGAAAAUGUGUUUUAUUUCAGGUUGUAGCUUCCAGUAUUUGUAAAAAAUAAUAUACAUAAAGAAUAUUAUCUGCCUUGUGUAUGAGAAACUAUAAAUAAAAUAUUUGUUUCACCUAUUCAAAACUGAAUUUUCUACAUGUCUCCAAACCUUCUUCAGAGAUUGAA